rnacentral:lncRNA from 8 species
AUGAUAAGUACUAUAUUACGUAUUGGAUCACAAAAAAAUGCACAUUUUACAUUACCAUGUAGUUUACCAAUUAAAUGGUCUGACGGAGAUGUGGACAUACUCGGCAUACAAAUCCCAAAAGAAAGAAAUGAUCUCACUCCAAUACAUUUUUAUAGAAAGUUAGCAAAAAUAGAUAAGAUCUUGCUACCAUGGAAAGGAAAAUACCUGUCUAUUUGUGGAAAAAUCACCCUGAUUAACGCUUUAGUCAUAUCACAGUUUACCUAUUUGCUUAUGGUUUUGCCUACACCUAGUGACCUGCUUUUUAAAUUAUAUGAACAAAAAAUAUUCAAUUUUAUUUGGAAUGGCAAGCCAGAUAAAAUUAAAAGGGCCUAUUUAUAUAACGAAUGUGAAUUUGGAGGGCAGAAAUUAUUAAAUAUUAAAGCAUUAGACCUCUCACUAAAGGCAUCAGUCAUACCAAAGUUAUACUUAAAUCUAAACUGUUUUUCUAGUAAAUUGGUACGAAUGUCUCAUCCUAUGUUCAAGAAGGGCCUUUUUCUCUUUAUUCAGAUUACACCUGCCCACUUUCGGUUGUUUGAAAAGGAAAUAAUCUCCAAAAUAUCUUUAUUUUUUAAACAAGCCUUAGAAAGUUGGUUGCAAUUUCAGUUUAAUCCACCUGAAAAGACAGAACAAAUAAUACAACAAAUAUUGUGGUUAAAUUCAAAUAUAGUAAUUGAUAAAAAAACUGUAUUUUUCGAAGAAAUGUUGAAAAAAGGUAUACUUUUAGUGAAUGGUAUUAUAAAUAGGACUGGUGGUGUGAUGUCACACAUGCAGCUAACACAGACAUAUGGAAAUGUCUGCUCUACCCAAAAUUACAACCAAUUAAUUGCAGCAUUACCACAAAAAUGGAAGAGGCAAGUAGAAGGGGAAAAAAGUAAGGAACUUGUAUGUCGGCCCUGUAUUAAAGAACAUAAAUGGUUAAAGAAAAGUGUGAUAAAUAAAAACAUAUACCAAUUUCAUUUAAUGACCAAAAAACUGACAGCUGUGCCAUAUAAAUUGCAAAAUAGUUGGGAAGAGAUUUUCGAUGUACCCAUUCCAUGGCACAUGGUUUAUCAAUUGAUACACAAAACAACGCCGGAUUCAAAACUUCUAAUUUUUCAACUUAAAUUACUAUACAAAAUUCUUGCAACUAAUAGAAUGCUACAUAUAUGGGGGAUACAAUCUUCCCAGCUCUGCAGAUUCUGCUGUGAGGAGGCAGAGUCAUUAGAUCAUUUAUUUUGGUAUUGUCCAUAUGUAGCUCGUUUUAGGUCACAGGUCCAGGAAUGGCUGAAGAAUUGCAACAUUUGCCUAGAACUAACGCUGCAGAUAGCAAUACUGGGUGAUUUGAAAAGCCAUAGUCAAUCAAUCAAUAAUAUAACAAUUAUUUUAGCAAAAAUGUUAAUUUUUAAUUUACAAUCUGUAGAAGCUAUGAGAAUAGAAAGGUUCCAUUGUUUUGUGAAGCAUCACAGCACAGUUGAAAAAUAUAUGGCAAAUAAAAAUCCGAAAUGGAUGAUGUUGAGAGAUAGAUGGGAGGGGUUGAAUGGAGCUGAAGGGUGGGACUAA